GGAAGACGUUAAAAGUCUAAUUCAGGACUUUAGGAACUUAGAGAGUCCAAAAAACUCGACUGACAGCCUUUUAAAACCUUUUUCUUCCCGUUGUCAGAGCUGAGCUGCUGGAUUUAGCUGCCGUUUUGGUUCACAGCUCCUCAGUUUCACUCGUUUCUUAUAACUUCUGGUUAAAAAAAAAAGAGAAAUCAUUUGUCAUUACCGUAUUUUUCGUACUAUAAGGCGCACUUAAAAUCCUUUUGACUUGUCGGAGCGCUGCAGCUACCGUAGCCUCACAGAGUUAUUGAAUGAGUUAAAUAAAGUUUGACUUAUCUGACUGUUUUGUUUGGCUUAAUGCGCCUUAUUAUCUGGUGCGCCUUAUGUAUGAAAAUAGACGCGUUCAUUGAUUGUGCGCCUUAUAGCGCGAAAAAUACGGUACUUGAAGAUUAAGUAGAAUUGGUUUAACUCUUUGCAAAAACUGCUUAAAUGAUGACAAAUGCCAAAAAUUGAGUUUCAUCUUGAGCUAUUUUAAAUCCAAAUCUAACUCAAAUUAAAACAAUCAGACUUUUUUAUGACAAACAUCAAACUAACAACAGAAUUGUAUGUCAGAGAUUAUUUACUGACUUCAGGAUGUCAUGAGUUUUUAGUUUAACAUCCAGACGAACACAACUUUGUGUUAAAGUUCAGAAACUGUUUUUCAAAGCGUGUAAAAAAACUCGAGCCAGCUUUCUCAAACUGUCUAUUUCAGUGUUGAUCUGCUGUUUAAUGGACCCAAAGUUACCUGUUAAUGUGCCUUCACAUGACUUUGAACAGAGGACUGCUGUAUUUUUUCUUUACUUUCUCAGUUUGAGGAGGUUUUUAGGAAUCAGAUCUGGGUUAAAAAACUUUAGAUGUAGUUUUGUUUUUAGAAUUAAAGGGAAGAACCACUCAAAUGAGCUGAAAGUAGGGGUUUAUUUUUACAUUUUGACAACUACCUAAAGAGGUGUUACCGGAUUAGACUGAAUAUUCAGAUCGUUUAUGUCUGCUGUCACCAAAUUUCAUGUGUGUUUCAAUGUUCAGUCGUUGUUUCAAAGAUUGAACGCCUCAGGUGACAAAAUCGUGGUUUAAUCGAUUAAAGAUUGUGACUGAAUCGGGGUCAGCUCACUUUCAGUUCUGCUUUAAACUUUUAUUUAAACUUUGACCUGAAUUUGCAGAUUUAAACGUCUGUUUUUUCACUGUGAAUCUUACAAGGCUGUAAAGUCCUAGUUGACCUGGUCCUGGUCGACUUAUUGAUCGAUACGUGCUGAGUCAACCAAAAUUCUGAUUGGUCAACUCAAUUUUUUUCCACGUCAAUUUACAGUCUGUGGUUAAUUUUAUCAGGAGGAAUGUACCAAGUGCUAAUGGGGGUGUUUUCAGAGCACCCCUGUUUCAAAGGUAACAGCCUGUCUUAAAACACCCCCCCUGUUUUCACCAUUUUGGAUUCGCCCAACCCACUGGAGACCGGCUGGAGACAGGAAGAUUAAAGAGCGUUGAUGUUAAUCAACGUCUGGUGGGUUGCAGAAUAUUUGCUUUUAUUUUUAGUGUUUCAACCUUCAUCGUGUGUAAUUGCCUUCUUGUGCUGAUAUCAGUACAUUUUUUUACAUUUUUUCUUACAGAUGAGAAAGAGGAGAAAAAAUAAUUACAGGAGGGAGAUUGUUUUAAAUUUCUAUUUCAAGAUUGAAGUGAAAAUUUUGACUUAAAUCUCAAAUUUUUAGUUUUUUUUUUUUUUAAGUUUUUUUUGGAAAUUUCAACUUUAUAAACAAAAUUUCAAAUUUUUUUAAUCCUGAAAUGUCAACUUUAUUGACACAGUUUCAAUUUUUUUUUAAUCCUAACAUUUCGAAUUUAAUCUUGAAAUUUCAACUUUGAGAUAAUUUCAAUUAUUUUGAUCCCGAAAUUUCGACAUUGUUCACAUUUCAUAAUCUUGAAAUUUUGACUUAGUUGACAUAAUUUCAAUUUUUUUAAUCUUGAAAUUUCAAUUUUUAAUGUUGAAAUUUCGACUGACAUAAAUUUAAUUUUUUUAAUCUUGAAAUUUUGACUUUAAUCACAAAAUUUUGACAUUAAUUUUUUUCCUGUAAUUAUUAUUUUUUCUCUUCAUGUGGCCCUAAUCCUCUUCCAUAGAGCCGAGACGCCCCCCGCCGAUUAGUCGAGUUUUUGGUCCAAAAUUUCAGGGUUUUAGUCGACCGAGAAUUUCUGUGGUUGAUAUGUGCCUUUGCCUCGUAUGCUUGAGCUGUUAUUCUGCAGCCCUGCAGCCUUAACAGAAGAGAUAAAUCUGCUCCUUUCAAAGUGGUGGAGCUGAAAAUGAACUGACCCCAAAACCUGUAAAAACCUGCUGUAGAACAAAAGCUUUAAAGAAAUUCAUCUGUUUUAAUUCUUAUCACACAGAGAGGCAGUUCGAUAAAAUCAGUAAUAGUUUUAAGAACGAGGGUUAAUGAUUUUCUACCUAAAGGUGUGUUAAUGUAGAGAGUUUUAGUUGUGUAUUUAUGUGAUUAUUUAAUGUGAUAUUUAAUGUCAGCCAAAGAGGAAGAGGAGGAGUGUUAAUGUGAUGAUGAAGAGUAUGGCUGCUGGAGAACAAAGUGGACCUUAUAAAUGUGUAAAAAAAACUUUGUCUGUGAAUCUUUGGAGGUUAACGGAGAGAAGAGGAGGGGAGGGAGGAAUAAAAGUGAUUUUAAUUUUAACCUGGAAAAUGUUCAUUUAACAAAUCUGUGAAUCUGUGGAGGUUCAGAUGUGAUGAUGAUGAUGAUGAUGAUGAUGAUGAUGGGAAGAGGAAGAGGAGGAAUAAGGUGUGUCUGUGUGAUGGGGGCUGUAUUAGUGAUAUUAAUUCUACUGUGGAAAAUGUCAAAGAAUAUGUCAACAAGUCCACAGGCAGCAUGUGUUUCUCCUC